UACGAAGGUGGCAAGCGUUGUUCGGAUUUACUGGGCGUACAGGGAGCGUAGGCGGUUCGGUAAGCCCUCUGUGAAAUCUCCAGGCUUAACCUGGAACAGUCGGAGGGACUGCUGGGCUAGAGGACGGGAGAGGAGCGCGGAAUUCCGGUGUAGCGGUGAAAUGCGCAGAUAUCGGGAGGAACACCAAUGGCGAAGGCAGCUCGCUGGGACGGUACUGACGCUGAGA
rnacentral:rRNA from 1 species